GCCUCCUUGGCUCAGUUGGCUAGAGCGCGAGUCUCAUAUUUAUAUAUGCGGAUGAUUACCUCAUCUCAAUCUCGAGGUCGCAAGUUCGAGCCUUGCAGGGGGCA
rnacentral:tRNA from 1 species